rnacentral:rRNA from 1 species
CCAGCUCCAAUAGCGUAUAUUAAAGUUGUUGCAGUUAAAAAGCUCGUAGUUGGAUUUCUGGUUUGAGCGUCCGGUCGACCUUGUGUCUGUACUAUGGAUGUUUGGGCCAUAUUUUGUGAGGAUGCCUUUCUGCCAUUGAGUUGGUGGUUGGGUGGACUUGCAUCGUUUACUGUGAAAAAACUAGAGUGUUUAAAGCAGGCGUUUGCUCAUUUGAAUACAUUAGCAUGGAAUAAUAAGAUACGACCUUGGUGGUCUAUUUUGUUGGUUUGCACGCCAGGGUAAUGAUUAAUAGGGACAGUUGGGGGUAUUCAUAUUUCAACGUCAGAGGUGAAAUUCUUGGAUCGUUGAAAGAUGAGCUUAGGCGAAAGCAUUUACCAAGGAUGUUUUCAUUAAUCAAGAACGAAAGUCAGGGGAUCGAAGAUGAUUAGAUACCAUCGUAGUCUUGACCAUAAACUAUGCCGACUCGGGAUUGGCAGUCGUUUAAUUAGAAUGACCUUGUCAGCACCGUAUGAGAAAUCAAAGUCUUUGGGUUCCGGGGGGAGUAUGGUCGCAAGGCUGAAACUUAAAGGAAUUGACGGAAGGGCACCACCAGGAGUGGAGCCUGCGGCUUAAUUCGACUCAAC